rnacentral:piRNA from 1 species
UCAGUUUAGAGAAUGUGGGAUAUGGU